AUGACGGCUGGGGAAACUCGGGCAAACCUUUACUGGGGAAUCACCCCUCCGAAACCCCACCGCCGAGGCGCCGCAGCGGAGGUUCCCAUCCACCCCGUCGCCCCUUGCUUCUCCUCGCCGCCUCGACUCUGCUCCGGGGAAAAACUUCAAAGCGCCGGAUCGCAGGCUCUCUGCUUACUCCCCGGCCGGGGAUUUCAGACUAGACGCUUGAAGAAAAGCUGCCAUCCAAGAAGACGACAUGCUUUCAGCAACCCCCCUGUAUGGGAACGUUCACAGCUGGAUGAACAGCGAGAGGGUCCGCAUGUGUGGAAUCAGUGACGACAGGUGAAUGCAUGGGUCUGGCUGAGGCCUGGGGAGCAUGCGGGUCCUUCCCUGGGGCUCCUAAGCAGAGCCCCCUUCACCUCCUCACAGCCAGAGUGGGCCCAAAGGGGGGUGGUGGGGGGAGAUCUCCUGCCUAGCUGGCAGCCUUGAUUUACAGUUUUAACAGGCAACCCGGCUCAGCGAAGCAUUGCCGCCCUUUAAGAGAUUAGCCCCUAAAGCGGCCUUUCAGUGCUCUUUCGUCCUUAAUUUAUUAUUUCAUAUUUAUGAAGGAGAAUUAAUCCCAGUCUAUAUGCUGCUUUAACUCUAAAUGUCAGGAGUGUGGGCCCAGGUGGAUCGGCAUUCGAUGUGCUUUUAAAACAAAUAGUUUGCUCAGUAAUAAAUGGGGCAAAAGCCACCCUUCA
rnacentral:lncRNA from 1 species